UCUCCCCAGGGCCCCUCCAGCCCCGAGUCUCCAGGCCACCCUGAAGAACUCCAUAAGCAAAGGCCCGACACUGUGUUGAGCUACAAUGAGUUCUUUUGUCUAGGAAUCCUGUCUGCUAGGGGACAGUGACCACAUUCCGGGGGCUUAGGGAGGAAAGGCUGAGAUGUGGAGAACAUCGUAUCAGACAUUCUGCUGCCUGCAGUGAGAGCCACUGUAGCUCCCAGUGGACAGAGGUAAUCUCAUCAUUGACCCAAAUGCCGAGGACCAAGGAAGGAGAAGACAGACAUCUGAUAUAUCGUGGUGUUAGUGGCUCACCUGCCAGACCCCAUCCUCACCAUCAUCCUUGAGAAGAGUGGGGACCCUGCAGGGACAGAGACUAUGUCUUCUCAGUGUGGAGUGAAAGACGUGACCAGAUGAAUAAGAUGCCAAUCUGUUGGAAGGUUCUAUCUAAAUUCACUGUGACCUCCCCCAACAUAGUCAUUGGAUCGCACAUCAGUCUUUUCUGGAAACCCCUGUAGACACCUGCUCUGAGCACGAGACCCUCAGGAGUUCCUGAUGGCAGGGGAGUGGAUUCUGGUGGCUCGUAGCUGAAGGAUUCAGAGAGCUAGGGCGUGGCCAUUGAUCAGAGAAGGAUCCCUACAGAAGCUGCCCUGGAACACAAUAAAGUUAGCAUUAUUGGCAU